rnacentral:rRNA from 1 species
AUGUGGCGUAUUGCGUCUUCGGCUAGCUCGAUUACAGAUUGGUGGAGAGAGCUAUGCUCCGGGCGCGGGCCGACGAACACGGUGCAGGAGGAUAUCACGUUGGCGGCCUACAUCGCCUGGCACCUAUGGAAAGAGCGCAACAGGAGGAUCUUUCAGCAGAAGGAAUUGACUGUGUUCAUGUUGGCUGAUUUAAUCAGAGAUAAUGUAAAAUUAUACAAAGAGGCCACUGGGCAGGGUCAGGUUAUUACGUAA